UGCUGGUGGUGAAGCACGCCCUCUCGGAACACUGGGCCUUGCCAGGGGUAAGCCACCUGCCUGUCCCUUGUCACCCACCCUUCACCCAUCCACCUCCUGACCGAGCA